UGGGGAAUAUUGCACAAUGGGGGAAACCCUGAUGCAGCCAUGCCGCGUGUGUGAAGAAGGCCUUCGGGUUGUAAAGCACUUUCAGCGAGGAGGAAAGGUUGAUGCCUAAUACGUAUCAACUGUGACGUUACUCGCAGAAGAAGCACCGGCUAACUCCGUGCCAGCAGCCGCGGUAAUACGGAGGGUGCAAGCGUGAAUCGGAAUUACUGGGCGUAAAGCGCACGCAGGCGGUUGGAUAAGUUAGAUGUGAAAGCCCCGGGCUCAACCUGGGAAUUGCAUUUAAAACUGUCCAGCUAGAGUCUUGUAGAGGGGGGUAGAAUUCCAGGUGUAGCGGUGAAAUGCGUAGAGAUCUGGAGGAAUACCGGUGGCGAAGGCGGCCCCCUGGACAAAGACUGACGCUCAGGUGCGAAAGCGUGGGGAGCAAACA
rnacentral:rRNA from 1 species